GACGGAGGGGGCUAGCGUUGUUCGGAAUUACUGGGCGUAAAGCGCGCGUAGGCGGCUUUUCAAGUCAGGGGUGAAAUCCCGGGGCUCAACCCUGGAAUUGCCUUUGAAACUGUAGAGCUUGAGUGUCGGAGGGGAUAGCGGAAUUGCUAAUGUAGAGGUGAAAUUCGUAGAUAUUAGCAGGAACACCGGUGGCGAAGGCGGCUAUCUGGACGACAACUGACGCUGAGGCGCGAAAGCGUGGGGAUCAAACAGG
rnacentral:rRNA from 1 species